AAAUUCGUAAAUUUUCUUGUUCGCCCGUAUAUUUAAAAAAUAAAACGAAGAAGAAAAAUGGCGAAAGCCCACUGUAUAAUUUGUAGAAUUGUUAGUUGUCUUCCUGUACCACGUUUCUCUUCUAGAGACAACGAAAUUCUAAUGUGGUGUUUGUUUUUUUAUUUAAAAUCUAAAUAAAUUUGAAUUAGUAUGAAUUCUGAAUAGAUUUGAAUAUCUGAAUCUGAAUAAUAUGUUUAUUUUUUCAUCUGAAUUUCGAAAAAUAAGUAUUAAGUUGUUUGUUUUUUUCAACUUAAAAAAUUGAAAAUAUAUACUUUUACAUUUGUAUCCUUAUUAAAUCUGAAUGUCAAAUAAAUAAUAUAUUAAAUACCACAAUAUUUUAACAUUUAUAAAUAAAACUAUAUUCAAGUGAAUACAUAAUUAUUUUAAAAUUUUAAUAUAUAAAAUACUAUAAAUUUCAAAUUUUAUUGUAUAUAAUAUAAGAAAGAAAAAAUAUGGAUAUUUUUAUGUGGGGUAAAUAUCUAUAGAUGAGUUUUGAGAUAGACAUAAAAAAUAAAUUAUAAAAUAAGAAUAUUUUUGACAUUAGCAAGUAAUUAACUUAAUUCAUAUUUCUUCAUUAAGUAAAAAGCUACAAAAAUUGACUUAUUUUAUUAAGUCAAAAUUAUCUAAAAAGUCUCAUUAAGUUAUAAAAACAAACACCUCUAAUUAACUUAAUUAAUUCAAAAUUAUCUAAAAAAUCUCAUUAAAUUAUAAAAAUAAAUAAUUUUAAUUAAUUUAAUUAAUUAAAUUAAAUCACUUUAAAUCAUUAAGUUAAAAAAUAAACAUCACCUAACUGUGUUCGUAUAUAAUUCGUCAAUCUUCAAAUACUAAAACUGUUCGUCUUCAAAUGUUAAAAAUGUUCGCACAUCCCUUUCAAAACCUGUCUUUUCUCUUUAUAAUUUCUAGGAUAAGAUCUGAUCAUCUGAAGAAUAU
rnacentral:lncRNA from 1 species